rnacentral:rRNA from 1 species
UUGUUUCCAGGCUCAGAUGCCGAUGACAUGGAGCACGACGAAUUGGAAGACUCAAGUCACAAUACCUAUGUCGACCAUGAUCCAUUGGACUAUGUCUACUCAAACCUCCCAGACCACACACACAUACUGAAGCACGCCGCAAAUUGCGAUCACUGCAAGGCCAAGAAGUUUGUGUCCGAGGCCCCAGGAUUCUCCUGUCGCAGUGGGCAGAUCCAGCUGAAGCAACCGGAGCCCAUCCCGGAGCUAAUGAGGCUUUGGUCUAGCAUGGAUGCGGACUCAAGGCAUUUUCGGGAGAACAUACGGUUCUUCAACGGCCACUUCUCCUUCACAACCCUC